CGUGCCUAAUACAUGCAAGUCGAGCGAACAGACGAGGAGCUUGCUCCUCUGACGUUAGCGGCGGACGGGUGAGUAACACGUGGAUAACCUACCUAUAAGACUGGGAUAACUUCGGGAAACCGGAGCUAAUACCGGAUAAUAUAUUGAACCGCAUGGUUCAAUAGUGAAAGACGGUUUUGCUGUCACUUAUAGAUGGAUCCGCGCCGCAUUAGCUAGUUGGUAAGGUAACGGCUUACCAAGGCAACGAUGCGUAGCCGACCUGAGAGGGUGAUCGGCCACACUGGAACUGAGACACGGUCCAGACUCCUACGGGAGGCAGCAGUAGGGAAUCUUCCGCAAUGGGCGAAAGCCUGACGGAGCAACGCCGCGUGAGUGAUGAAGGUCUUCGGAUCGUAAAACUCUGUUAUUAGGGAAGAACAAAUGUGUAAGUAACUAUGCACGUCUUGACGGUACCUAAUCAGAAAGCCACGGCUAACUACGUGCCAGCAGCCGCGGUAAUACGUAGGUGGCAAGCGUUAUCCGGAAUUAUUGGGCGUAAAGCGCGCGUAGGCGGUUUUUUAAGUCUGAUGUGAAAGCCCACGGCUCAACCGUGGAGGGUCAUUGGAAACUGGAAAACUUGAGUGCAGAAGAGGAAAGUGGAAUUCCAUGUGUAGCGGUGAAAUGCGCAGAGAUAUGGAGGAACACCAGUGGCGAAGGCGACUUUCUGGUCUGUAACUGACGCUGAUGUGCGAAAGCGUGGGGAUCAAACAGGAUUAGAUACCCUGGUAGUCCACGCCGUA
rnacentral:rRNA from 1 species